AGUGAACGCUGGCGGUAGGCCUAACACAUGCAAGUCGAACGGCAGCACAGAGGAGCUUGCUCCUUGGGUGGCGAGUGGCGGACGGGUGAGGAAUACAUCGGAAUCUACUCUGUCGUGGGGGAUAACGUAGGGAAACUUACGCUAAUACCGCAUACGACCUACGGGUGACAGCAGUGGACCUUCGGGCCUUGCGCGAUUGAAUGAGCCGAUGUCGGAUUAGCUAGUUGGCGGGGUAAAGGCCCACCAAGGCGACGAUCCGUAGCUGGUCUGAGAGGACGAUCAGCCACACUGGAACUGAGACACGGUCCAGACUCCUACGGGAGGCAGCAGUGGGGAAUAUUGGACAAUGGGCGCAAGCCUGAUCCAGCCAUACCGCGUGGGUGAAGAAGGCCUUCGGGUUGUAAAGCCCUUUUGUUGGGAAAGAAAUCCAGCUGGCUAAUACCCGGUUGGGAUGACGGUACCCAAAGAAUAAGCACCGGCUAACUUCGUGCCAGCCGCCGCCGUAA
rnacentral:rRNA from 1 species